UGUUUGAUCCUGGCUCAGAACUAACGCUGGCGGCGUGCCUAACACAUGCAAGUCGAACGAGAAAGGGUCCUUCGGGACCUGAGUAGAGUGGCGCACGGGUGAGUAACGCGUGGGUAAUCUACCCUUCAGCUGGGAAUAACCCAUCGAAAGGUGGGCUAAUACCGAAUAAUACGGCCGGGCUGCGGUUCGGUCGUCAAAGAUAGCCUCUGCUUGCAAGCUUUCGCUGAAGGAUGAGCCCGCGUCCCAUUAGCUUGUUGGUAGGGUAACGGCCUACCAAGGCGACGAUGGGUAGCUGGUCUGAGAGGAUGAUCAGCCACACUGGAACUGAGACACGGUCCAGACUCCUACGGGAGGCAGCAGUGAGGAAUCUUGCGCAAUGGGGGCAACCCUGACGCAGCAACGCCGCGUGAGUGAGGAAGGCCUUCGGGUCGUAAAGCUCUGUCGGAUGGAAAGAAACGGAUGCGGGUUAACAGCCUUCAUCCCUGACGGUACCAUCAGAGAAGCACCGUACUCCUG
rnacentral:rRNA from 1 species